CGAAGGGGGCUAGCGUUGCUCGGAUUUACUGGGCGUAAAGGGCGCGUAGGCGGAUGACCAAGUUGGGGGUGAAAUCCCGGGGGCUUAACCUCGGAACUGCCUCCAAAAACUGGUCGUCUUGAGUUUGGGAGAGGUGUGUGGAACUCCGAGUGUAGAGGUGAAAUUCGUAGAUAUUCGGAAGAACACCAGUGGCGAAGGCGACACACUGGCCCAAUACUGACGCUGAGGCGCGAAAGCGUGGGGAGCAAACAGGAUUAGAUACCCUGGUAGUCCACGCCGUAAACGAUGAGUGCUAGUUGUCGGCAUGCAUGCAUGUCGGUGACGCAGCUAACGCAUUAAGCACUCCGCCUGGGGAGUACGGUCGCAAGAUUA
rnacentral:rRNA from 1 species